AUUAAAUUGAAUCUUUAAGGGAGAAGGGUGGCGUGGAUCAGGAUGGCCUGGAACAAAAAGGCGGGGAAGUUAGAGAGACAAAUAGCGACAGGAGGACGAUCGUCGAUGUGUCGGGGGUGGAGCAGGGUUGAAAUGAAGAAAGAAAGGACAAACGUGGAGCGAGGUUUAUGCCCUCUCCUGAGUCCUGUUUCGGAAUCGAAUUGCCAGCUCGUCACAAUUGCACACUGGAGGGGUGACAGUGCCUCUAUUCCAUCCCUGUCCCCCUCAUUCUCUCGUUCCACGUGUCUUGCUUUUCUUUUUCCCUUUUAUCGACGAUCGAUCGAUCUUCUCUCUCCUUUCCUCGAAUCUUAGACACGAUUCUCCCAAUGAAUAAACAGACUCAUCCGUCCCUUGGUAGCUCAUUCAAUUAAGAGUCUUGCAAUUAAACUCGGUUUAUUUUAUUUCAGUUCUUUUUAUCGAUCAAUGGAAUGGAAUAUUUUUGAUUUUUAAUUUUGGAGAAAAAUUUAAAAUGAAGUAAAAGGGAAAAAAGAAAAGAAUGUAAUCGCUCGUUUAGUUUUCUUUACGAUCUAAUCAACUUGAAUUACCAAGCUAAAAUAUUUACGGUAUGCAGAUACCUUUUAUGUACACUUAAUCAUUAAUUUUCUAAUAGAGAUUAAAGGAAUUCGAUUAUUCAAUCGAAUUCUUAAAGAGAAACUUCUUUAUUUCUCCUUAUAGACAAGAAUUAAUUGCUACAUGUAUUUCUUUCAAUUUAAUUAGAACAAAAAAAAUUUCCAAUAUUUCAUUAAAUAUUCACGAACAUUGAUCACGAUGCUUUCACACAUUUCUCUCGAGUUUCUUUUUCCAUGUGAUUCGCGAAAAAAGAUCACCAAUCUUCCUUCCUCCACUUUCGUUCCUGCAUUUUUGCAAUGAUCGAUCAUUUUCGAGAAUUAACCCACUGACCUUGAAAGAAAUCCCGCAGCUAGGCUUGAGCCAAGAUGAAAAAUGUGUGUCGCCCGCAUUAUCAUCGGCGAGAUUAAUCCCCGAUGGAUGUUCGAACGUACGUGAAAACAUAACGGAACUCGAAAUUGUUGGCGUUUAAGAGUUGUGCGCAAAGCGCGGAGUACUCAUUCACGGUUAAUUGUGCGUUUGAUGACAGGUGUCGUAUUUUUCACUUCACUUCUCCCGAUUAUCAACAACAAAAAGUAUAAUUUGCCGCAUAACUUUCUUCUUUCUCCUUGCUUUAUCAUUCUUAAAAAAUUACGAAUCAUAAUUAAUAGAAAAGUAAAUAUUACCGUGAGAAACAAAUUGUCGAGUUUCGUAUUUGCUCGCGUGCGAAAUCGUUAUUGAUCAUUGAAUCAGUGGAAAAAUUUGAAAUAUAUUUGGAAAUUUUCCAAUGUAUCUUUCAUCUUAUUAAAUUUAAUUUAGAUUUCACUUUUCACAAUUUGAAAAUUAUAUUUCAACGGAAUAUUUUCCAAAUUAUUUCCACAUCGUUUCAUUAAUCCUGGAUUGCUUUCGAAUUAGCCUUCGUUUAAUCACAUCGAAAGUUGCACGCGCUAAAAUUUUUACUCGUGUAAUAAGAUGGAUCCAAAUUUAUCCGCUUUAAAUUUAGAAAUCGUUACUUAUCAUUUCACAGCUUCGAAAUGGUAUAUAAAAAUCCCUUUCCAAAAGAUUUCAAGGCUACUAUACUGCUUUCCAUCGACAACAAACUACUAGAAAAUAGAGCAAAAACGAAAAACGCAUCUACCAACAACAAAACCACGCGCCAUUCCGCCCACCGAUCGACGCGUUUUAUUAUCCCAUCCUCCCCCCUCGCUUCCCCCGCGCAAAAAGAAAACGAAAAGCAGUUUUUCAACCUGUUAAAAAAUUUAGUCCGACCGCCGCGCGGCUCAAAGACAAAAUUCCCUCAAAGACCGCGUUUGAAACGGAUACCAGCGAAUAGGAGUCAUCCAACGGGGAAAUAUUUGGCAAGCAGGCGAUACAGGGGGGAGGGAGAGCCUCCAUCCCCAUUACACGACACAAAGGGCAGCCAUUGUGUCCCCCGUGAUCUCUCUCUCUCUCUCUCUCUCUCGUCUCUUUUUUCCCUUCUCUCAUUUUUUUUAUUUUAUUUUAUUUUUUUCCCCCCUCUUUUUUUUCCAUUUCUUUUUUUUCCAUUCGAAAAUGUUCGCGGCAACAUCCAACGGGGAGAGCUUCCCUCUAAAUCUCGGUGUGUGCAUUCACUCUGGUUCCACGGAACGCAGUCUAUUAUGGUUGAUAACGAAACGUCAGGGGGGAGGAAAAUCGUUAUACGUGUAGUUGCAAUAGGAGAGAGAGAGAGAGAGAGAAGUUCCAGCUGGAAAACUCCGACUCGUAAGCGGGGCUUAAAUCUGGCUUUGUCACGGAGAGGCGCACACGUGGAAUCACACGAGGAGGUGAUGCUUGCACCCUGGUCUGGACACGAUCCUCUUGGGAUGGUUCAAACGAAGAAUAGAGGAAUGUGCGCGCAUAGAGAGAAGGAGAGAGUUAAAUUGUACGUAUACUGGAAACGUAGAUAAUAUUAUUGCGAAAUCUGUAUAUAAAUGAAUGGUCGAAUAAGAAAAAAAAAUUAAAAACAAAUCAGGAUGAAAUGUAAUUAGAAAAUUGAACGAGAGUAACAAGUGGUUCGAGUUGACGUAUUUAUUUCUUCGCUCUAUUACGUAUCUAUCUAUACUCAUGUAGGAGAUUUUAUAAAAUAAAUUUCCACUCGAAUUUCAAGGGAAUGAAACGAAAUAAGAGAGACGGAUGGCGUGCAAGUAAGAUUGAUGACAAACAAAGGUGGAGAGAGGAUUUGAAUACAGGGAUGGAAAGGAACGGAAGGAAAGACGUGUGGUCAACGCGGAUGAAGAGAUACGGCUCCUGCGAGAAAUCGAUGGAGGGUGGUGGUAGUGAUGGUCGAUCGAGAAUAGGUGGCCGGGGAAAAAGAAAUAAAGACAAUGGUGAGUCAUUGUCGUACGAGGUGGAAGAUGUGCCAGAGGCGAGAAAAAUGGUCUGUAAUGAGGGUCAAAACGAAGACAAUUAGAUGAGGGGGGAUGGAAAAAGGGGAGGGAGUACAAAGGAGAAACGGUGGAUGGAGAAGCAGGUUGGCGAAAGAAUAAGCGAGGAGAAGAAAAUCGUACAUAUAUAUAUAUAUAUAUAUAUAUAUAUAUAUAUAUAUAUAUAUAAAAGUUUCUAUUGAGUUGGUUGAAGAAAUACGUGGAUAAAGUAAACGAAGAGGUGGCGUAGAAAAUUAGAACCAAUGAAGAUGGAAUCGAUCGGGGGUAGAAAAUACUUGAAAAAUAACGAGGAAAUUAAAAGUAAGAAAGGAUAAUAUGGGAGAAAAAUAGGGAACGAUAAGGGGGCAUUUAUGUGCUGUUUAUGGUGCUCUUGGGCGCUUUUCAAGGGUGGAAUAGGGGGAAACGUUGAAUAAAGUGUAAAAUAUGUCCUAUGAAAAUGUCAACGUGAGAUAAGGGGCUAUGUUGAAACAAGAACCUAGAGAGAAAGAAACACGAAGGGAUCUGGUGUAAAAAUAAAAAUGAUUGGAAUGAAAGAAAUGGAGGAAAGUAUAUUCUGUCGAAUGUAUCGAGAUUAAAAAAAAAAAAAAAAAGAAAGAAAGAAAAUAAGAAUGAAAGAAGAGAGAAAAGAGGGGUGAAAAAAAAGUACAAAGGCGAUGCUGAUGAGACAAAAGGGAGAAAAUGGGUGAAAAGAGAAAUAUUGUUUAACAUCGGAAUAUGGAUUGGAAAGGGGGAAGGGUGGAAUGGAAAGAAUGGAAAGUGGGAAGAAGGGUGCGACGAGGGAAGCGGCAAAAAGGAAGGAUUGGGAUUCAAGAUCCAGCUGAUGUCAGCUAGAAAUAUCGACGUAUUUAUUCCUGUAAAUUUAUAGUGACUCUUCGAAUCGAAUGGAAUUGUGAAAUUUCUUUUUUUUUUCUCGGAAGAACACGUGGACACAAAUAAAAAAACAUAUUUCUACUAUAACAACACUUAUAACAACGAUAUAUAUUAUAACAAAUUAUACUUUGAGUACAAUUUUAUAUUUUACAAAAGAGAAGAAAAGAGGAAAGUUUUGAAUUAUUAAAUUUAAAAAAAAGAAAUUGUACGAUGGAAGAUAUUUUUGACGGAGAAACAUCAACGAUUUUAUAAACUGAGUUUUUAAUAUAUAUAUAUUCGCGAUGGUAUUCGUAACAAUAAAUAUACUUCCGUAUUUCUGGAACUAAUCCGCGACACUUUCUAUCUUUCUUAGUACACUCGUAAAUAUCUUCCUUAAACGCUUCCUUUCCCCGCGUAUAUUUACUCUGUAAACAUACCUAAUAAAUUCUCGUUGCAGUCGUCAUGCCUGUGCAAACACACGUUUCACCUUGGAAUUUCUCUUUUUUCCAGAAUUUAUGCCACAUCCGUUUGUUUGGAACGUACGAAUGUAUUUUUAUCGAUCGUAAAAAGGAAUUAUGAAAAUUUUGAGAAAGAGAGAGAUAGAGAGAGAGAGAGAAAUUUAAUCGCUGUCAAGGUUUUUACACGAUUAAAAGUCGGAACGAUUAAACACGCGGUGGAUGAAGUUUAAUUCGCGGAAGCUUCACGGAAUACAAAUGAUGAGAGUAAGAAUGUUGGAGAGAAUGAAAACGCGAUUCUGACAUAAAUUACGUCUCCGUUUAAUCGGCCUCGUGAACGCGACAUUGCGAAAACGUAAUGAAUUAUGCAAAACGCACGUUAGGUAGUUGGCAGCUCGUAACCUCGUUUCGCGGGCUAUUAAUCGCAAUUCACGAAAUUCUCCCGAAUCCUAUAAUUCGUCGUGAAAGAAUCUGAUCGUCCCUUUGGAUAGAAUAAAUGUCAUAAAAGUUUGCCAAUUAUUAUUUGGAGAAGAGAAACUUUUCCAAUUUUAAUUCGAUUUCUUUCAAUGUCAAUUGACAAUAAAUAGUAUUUACUUUCUUAAUACAACGCAAAAUUACUUUUCUUUUCUAAUCUUUGAAAACUAUCAUAGAUGAUUUCAUCGAUGAUUUAACAUUCAUCGAUAUCGAUAAUACGCAAAUCUAUUAAAAGUUAAUCAAGAUCAAGUUGAUUCACCAAGCCAAAAGGAUACAAUUUCGAAAAGAUUUCUUAUCGAUGUUAUCGAUCCAAACAACCAAUAUAUAUAAAAAGAAAGCGAAGUUUCCAAAGAACGAAAACAUUAAGAUAACCAUCAAAAUACUUGUCCUCUCUCCUUCUUCGCAAAAGAAAAUUCUCUUCUCCCUUUCACGGAGUUUCCCAACUCUUGCUUCUUACUUGAAAACACACUUCUCGAGAUUGCGAUAAAUUAUGCAAAACGUGAGGCAACCGUCUCCGCAGCUCCUUCUGCCUUUCGCAAAAUUCUCGCUCGAAAUUCUUUGUUUCAUGCGCGAAACAAGGACGGUGAAGUAAAGUAAAAUCACGAGGAACGCGAUGAAGAAAAUAGAACGCGAUUCCCGUCCGUUUCGAAUAGCCUAGCAAAUCCAAUUAAGUUCUUUGAGCCAUGGUCCCCGUGUAUUUUUUUCUCUCUCUCUCUCUCCUUUCCUCCCUUCCUCCUCCCCCUUCGCUCCUUCUCACUGAAUUCGAUCCGCUCCUUUUUACCGCGGCUCCGCGCUCGGGGAAAUCAUUAGGUAGUUCUUGCGAUCGGUGAUAUUUCACCGGAGAGCAGUAAUUAGAGAGCACUUUGUCGAAAGCGGUCUACGCAGGCAUCGUUUCCGCCCCAGACACGCAAGAAACGAUUGACAAAUUGUUUGCCUUGCCCCUAUUUAAACAUGGCAAGAAGAUGCUUCUGAUAAAUUUUAUACGGCCGACUUUGAAUAUUCGUUCGCAUAGAGAAAUUGUUCGUGGAGGAUCGAUAUAGUCGCCGGACAACGGUCAUCCCGAUUGUUCUCUCGUUGUUGCUUCGCUUUCCUUCUUUCGAGUUCUUAUUAAAGUCUUUUAAUGUUUUUUUUUGUAUCGAUUGAUAAGGAGAAAUCAGAUGUGUGAAAAGGGUCUCGCAUUCGAUUUGAUUCUGAACUUUUCAUACUACAUGUACGUUUAAAUAUUAUUUAAGCUCUAAUCUAUAUUACGAAAAUAAGUACUUUUUCACUAUCGUUUGCUUUACGAAAGUUACACGUUAAAAAUUCUGUGUAAAACUUAUGCAUUAUCCCAUUACGUUAUCGUUACAAUUGUCGCGAGGAUUCGCGUUUCGUCGAAGGGGAAAAAAAAAAAGAAAAGAAGAGGUGGUGGCGUGGAAUGAAGAAAGUUCACCACUGUAUCCAGGAAAGUAGCGAAGAGAGACGCUGAACGGUCCUUCCUCGAAUCCAAUUGCCUCCCUUUGAAUCCUGCAUCUCGUCUUUGUUCCCGAGUUUUCGUCCUUACGGAAUUAAUUCCUCCGCCAGUCGGAAGGAAGUUGCCGAUAGAGGCGGACCCACACCACCCUCCUCUCUCCUCCGCGCCAUUACACCGCGUUUCAGCCGGGAUCCAAGAUGGAGCAGUCGACGACAAUUUAUAACGAGUCGUUGAGCUACUUUGAGGGCUCUCCCGCCCUCCUAUUCCUCCUCUCGAACCGAACUCCGGAUCAUCCUCUGAUCCCUGCCUAUUCGAAACGACCACUUAUUGCGGAAUUUUUUUUUUUAACCGCCGAGUGAGAUUGGCUCGAAAACGCGUAACGAGCUAAUUAAAUUCUUUGAAUGAUCCGGAUGGUUUUUUUCCCUCCCCCAAUUCGGAAAAAUUUCUACCAUUUUUUGAAACGUUGAAGAGGUUGGAUCGGUGAAAUCGUGGAUUAAAUUUUGACGAUUUCUAAUUGAUCUUUUCAGGGAUUAUUGAUAAUUUUUAUUAAAAUUUUGCCUUUCCCGCCCUCUUAUUUCUUAUUUCGAAUGCCUGCGGAAAAUUUUAUAAUAAAAUACCGAUCGAUAUCAAAAUCGAUGGACACCGUCCUUUCGCAAAUAUUGCAGCUUCGCAGAUCGAAUGACUGAAAUAGUAACUGAUUAUCGCUGAAACCGGAUAUCGGUUCGUCGUCGAGUCGUUCGCAGAGACACGGAUUAUGGAAACCUCGAUUUUAAUAACAACGUAAAUGGAAUUAAAUGGAGAAGCUACGAUAGAUAUGUAUUAGACCAUCCCUAAAUAAUAUUGAAUCUAAUAUUCCAGUUGAAAGAGUUAUUGGAUCACCGACUCGUAAUUCAAAUGGCAUAAAAUUGUUUUAAAUACCGGUUCGCAAAGAUUCAGACGGAGAGUGAAUCUUGCGAUCGAGAAGGCGGAGGAAAUUCUUGGCGGAAAGGCAGAAUUAUUCGAAAAAGCGUGGAAGAAACUGGCGCUGCUGUUAUCGAGCUGCGAAAUAUCUUGAUCCCUUUGGAGAGAGCGUUUUCACCCUCCGCGAGAGAAACGUCUCUCGACGCUUUCGAUGCAAAAGUGGCAAAGGGUCGCACGAGUACAUCGUUUAGAACGUUAAUUGCCAUUCGACGUGCGCACCUGGUAUUGUGCCACCGUGUGUUCCAGACUUUUAACACCGGUUCUUUCUUUUCGUUACGAUAAUGGCGAUGUAAGUGAGAAGAACAAGGUUUAAAGUGUUUUCGUGAAAAUUCGCGCCGCUAUUUCCCUUUUCUCGUGCACUCUCGCACCCUCUUUUUUCAUGCAAAUUCCAUUCCACGUUACCAAUGUCGAAACCUAAUACUUUUCUCACUGAUCUCUACCACGUUCAAUACUUGAAAAGGAAGAAACAUACCAGAUGGAUUAACAUGGAUUUUCCAACAACUUCUUUUAUUCGUGCGUAAGAAUAAAUAUUCAACAAAAAAAAAAGGGGUGAAGAUAACACGUUCAAAAAGAUUUCACGCGCGAAACACGGACCCGAACAUCGUGUCUGGCACGUGUUUAUCCUGCGAAACAGCGGGCUGUGCACACAAAGGGAAGAGGAAAAAACGAGGACAAAAGGAGGCAGCCUGGCAAGCGUUAUUCCCGAAUUGGAAAAUUGCGUCGUCUGCGAGGGCAGUCGCAAGGAGGGUGGAAAAGCAGCAGGAUGGUGGGGGGUCAGGUAGAUGUCAGGGCCAGAUACAACUGUUAACACCGGAAAACACCAAAACCGUAAUUACCGAGACCCGUGAAACAGCCGACAGUGGACCGAUCUCUCUGUCCACCCUCUUACUCUCCCCCUCCCCAAAGGUCUUUUUCUUUCGCGCCAUCCUUCUUCACCCAGCCGUUCGGUUUCUCGCAUACGUCGUUCGUCCACCAUUUCCCGCGUUUUUCGCGUGUCCUCUCCCCAUUUUUUCCCCGAGCUUUCUUCUGCGUGGAAGGAAAAAAAGAAAAAAAAUGUAGACCAAGGUAAUUGGAGUGGCGGUGGUUAUUUCGGAUCCACGCUCGCGGAAGUAAAUGGUUUUGCACUUUGACCAGCCACGAUGAUAUGAAGAGUAUGCCCUCGACUAUGGUGAAAAGGGUGAAUGAAUAAUGAAAGGGUGUAGAGGAUUUACUUUUCGAAUUGGGGAGGAUUCUUUUGGGGAGGUGGAUUAAUGUGGAUCGAAAUUUUCGAAAGUUUAGCAGAUUAAAUUGAAUCGAAGAUAAACUUGAAUUCAAAAGAGCUUCGAUUAAUUUGAAUUGUGUAUAGAACAAUCCGAAGGGGCGAUGCUCGGUUUCUGUAUCACAAAAAGUCCCCUAUACAAUCGUUUACACCAUACAAAAAUCACCCUUCGCCAAACUUUUACAAAUACACGAGAACGCCAGCCCUGGAAUCCGCCCAAAUAUCUCCGCCAAUUUAAUAUCGAAAAAUAUGAUAUAUAUCGAAUCACGCAGACAUCUCGUGCGACCACUGUCCAUUUUGCGUAUCGUUGCACAGAAGACACAAGUAGAAAGAGAAAGAGAGAGAGAGAAAAAAAUAAACGAGGGUUCACGAGCGUUUUAUUUGUUAUUCGACGAACACGAUUCGUCGAAUCGUAAUUCGUCGAUAUUUUCCUGGAGUCGAGUGGAGAUCGAUCCAGGGGGAGGUUAGAGGGGGUUGCAACGUAGAGAACGUAAUGCAUAGGGGUGCGCUCGAUUGAAAUUGCCAGGUGGAGGCGAAAAAGAGGUGGCCAAAGAGGGCGGCGUGGGGAGAAUCGAGAGUUUUACCUGCGCGGAUUCCAUAAUUAAAAUCAGUUGGCGUGUCCCCAUCAUUGUCCCCGACUGGUUGGACCUCCAGUCCACUUUGUCCCCCUUGGUGUCCCGUCUGCGUGGCCGCGUACCGCACGCGUUUCGCGCAAUUUAACGAGAAAACUUUUCAAAUUACAUUCUAGGGGCUCCCACCCCCGUCUUUCUCCAUCUUUUUUCUUUCUUCUUCAUCCUCGUCACGUUGUUGUCACUCCCUUGUCGCCCUUCCUUCGUCCACAGUCGUUUUGUAUUUCUUCUCGUCCUCUCGUUCAUCCCUUACAGGGACAGAGAUUUAUCACAAGGAAGACCGCAACGCUUAUGACGAGUCUCGUUUGUUUUCUCUGAGGGGAGAGGGGGUGUAAUAAGGGAAAUCUCGCGGAUUAGUAGUCUGAUAAGUAUCCUCGAGUGUUUCUUCGAGUGGGAAGAAGGGUGGAAAAUAAGGGGAGAGUGGAAGGGAAGGGUAGACGAAAGUAGAUCGAUGGUAAUCACUUAGAGGAGGAGGAAAAGAGGAGGAGGGAAGGGAGGAUUCGAUCAUCAUCGUACGUAAUUCGAACGCGUAUUUCCAUCGGCUCAAUGGCGAUUUGAUUUCAUGGCAAUCGUGGAAAUUUACGCGUAUUUGUUGUUGAUCUACGUGGCCCAGUUUCGACGGCAGAACGAUUUCAUCGAGUGGUUUCACCCUUUUCUUCUUAAAUGGGACAGUGGAUAUUGCUUUCUGAAGGGAGAAAUACGAAUACGAAACGUGGAGAGAACGAUCUCGAGUUAAAAUACGAGAUUUGUUUACGUGUUUGAUAUGAGUUUAGUAUUUCUCUUUUUUUAAUCUUAGCGAUAGUAGAUUAAACAAUAUUUAUUUAUUACUUUACUUAAUCUUUCUUAUUAUUUCGAUAUUUUCUAUAUAUUAGCUAGGUGAGAUUCAUUAUCUGCGUUGAAAAUAUCCACGCAUAUUCCAAUUGUUGAUUUUUAAAAUAUUCUGCACGAAAUGCGAGUUUUCCAAAGUUAUUAGAUUUCAUUCGAUACGCUUGAAUGAAAUUAGCAUCAUAUCUUAUUCCGUGGAAUUCAAAAAUUUAUUUAAAAAACAGAGAUUAGAAUAUCGCCACACUGAUUUUAAUCUCUUUUUUUUCUUUUCAGAAAACUUAAACAUUUAAAAUUGUGUUCUUUAUUGGCCAACAAGUUAUCAAAAUAAUUACAACUAUUAUUCAUAAUUAAUUUCGAAUUAAUAAAAAAGAUUAACAGAAGAAAAUUCGGCCAGACACAAUGGGAAAAAUGAUUCCGAUUUCCAUCUUCGUUCCCACCGCGAUCAAACGUUAAUUCCAUACGUGUUUUCGAAAAACGAACGAGGCGAAAUCUAAGAGUAAAUAGAUAUUGAAGGAUGAUAUUUCGAGGGGUGAUAUUUCGAGUUCGCAGCUUUCAUACGGUUAAUUAGAAUCGUCGCCAGGCCGUGAUUAGUUGGAUAUGAUCGAUCUACGGACGUGCGUGGAAUCGGUUUCCGUAAUGGUUCCAUUAGCACACCCGGUAUGCGCGAUGGGGAUGAUGUAUGUGGAUACGAAUAUGUAAGGUAUUCGCGAUUAACCGAAAUUGAGGCGGAUUCCUAAACUGUGUUGCGCUACAUUGACUCUUUAAUGGUGUUGCGUGAAAGCUUCAUUUGCCAAUCGUAAUUUCCGCAAGAUAGAAAUCUAUGCCUCUCUCUGGGAAUUGUGGAAUUGUGGAUAGGGGAACACGGUUGUCAAUGUUCGAAUUUGUAACGCGUUUCGAGUUACGUUUCCAUCGGCCUUUUCUUUUUAUUUAUUGUUUGUUAGCUUAACGAUUUUUAUUUCCUCGUUAUUUUUAAUAGAUAUUGUUUCGAAAUUUGUUACCUUGAAUGGAAUUUUUAUGUCUUUCUUUAUUUAAUUGUAUUAUUAUAUUCAAAAGAAAAUGUAUCAACGAUAUUUAAAUCUCUCUUUUUAAUCGUUAUAAUUUAAAGGAAAUUUUAAAUAAAAUUUGUUAAUUAUUUCGGUUUUUUUAAAAAAUUGAUGCAUGAUAUUUUGCAACGUACACGAUGAAUUCGAAAUAUUUCAAGAAAGAUAAUAAUUAAUUGGUUGUAAAUAAAAUUAUUAGAUAUAAUUAUACGUGCGCAAAUAAGAGAAUUUAAAUUCGGUUAAAAUGAAUAAUAAAAGAAAGUUAUUUUUAAAACAAAUUUAUUAUCACAACAUUGAAUGUUUCACACGAAUAAUAUAAAUUUUAUUUUAGCAACAGUUUGGAAACAAGUUAGCGAGAGAAAGUUUAAAAGUUUUUCUAGGUCUGCACUAAUUGACGUAUUAUUCUCACUUGACUGAAAUAAGUUAAUACUUAAUAUUAUUUCUUGUCAUUUUUCAGAAAUUACAAUUUAACGUUACUGGAUAGAAAGUAGAGAUUGGUGAAAGUCUUAACUAUUAAUCAUUAUAUAUUUAGCAAUAACUUUAACGUAGAAACACGUAAUUUCGUAAAAGUUUGAAAAAUUUCAUCAGAUGAUAAAUUAAACGUAUAUUUGAAUUCUCUCUCUCUAUUUGCAACUCGUAUUAAGAACUAUUUGAAAGACUGGAAAGAAUAUUAUUCGAUUUUAAUCAGAACUCUUGAGAAGCAAAAUUUUUCAACAGAUCAGAACAAUGGUCUUAAAUCAAACGAUAUUUUACAAAGUUGAAUUAUAUUUCUGUUUAAACCACAUUAUUAAUCAAAGAAUUUUUUGAAGAAUCUUCUGUAUUGAAUCUUCUGAUCUUCUGAACAAUCGAUGAUGGUUUAAUUAACGAUUAAAACAGCAAUGGAAACAAAGAUGGCGAAAAUUAAUUGGAGUGCACUACAUUGAAGAAACAAAGCGUCAACCUGUUGCACUAUUUUCUUCAAGGAAAUGAAAAGAUCGUUCCACUUCUGCAUUCUGUUAUUUAAUCUCUUGAUCAUAAAUACGAUGCAAUGAGAUACGAUAUCGUUAAAAUAUAUAUUAUCUAAAUAUCAUAUGUGAGAACUUUUAAUUGCACAAGUCUCAUUAUUAAAAUUUCUACUUAUUGUUAAUAAUAAAUUUUAAUUAAUAAAUUAUUUCUAACAAUAAGGCAGAAAUUUAAUAACUUAUGAUGGAGUCUCGUUACAAAGUCCAAUUAUAAAAUGUCCAAUAUAAUCGUUAUCGCUAUAUUUAACGUAUUUAAACAUUUUAUUUGAUUUAAUUAUAUAGAGACGAGUAAAUUAAUUAAUUCCGGUUUCCUUUCAUCCGGCACGUUUGCUCACCGCGCCCGAGAAAAUGGCUAGAGGUAGAGUAAAUAUAAUUAGGAAUGAUUUUCUUCUGGUAACGAGCUACCUUCUGCGUGUCACUUUCUGCCCGGGAAGAGAAUGAGAUAUCGACAAUUGUCCCUGCAGAAGUAUUUGCCCGAUGCUUGUAGGAAUUCAGGGGGUGGAGAAAACAAGAGAGAAACGGUGAUGAAGAAAGGAAAAGAAAUGUUGGCUCAAGUAGAGAGAUGUUCGUACGAGUCGAGCAAAAAUUUUAUUUUUCUCUUUUUUCGAAAUUGCGCGUAUUUUAUAAAUUUUUUUAACAACUCGUGAAUAGAGUUGAAAAGGAAAAAAAUUGAUAAAUUUAUGAAUGACAUAUAUGGAUAUAAUAAUUGAUUAAUUGAAUAAGAGGAAUGGAAAAAUUAUUUUCCAUAUUCGUCCUGCUUCCAUGAUUUCUCUUUUCUCUAAGCUCUUGGAAAAUAAUACGAAAUAUCCGAAAGCAGGGUGAAAUCUUGGCGAAGGAUUUCCUAGAAACACUCUUAUCCCUUUCCAAACCGUCGAAGGUCUGAAUUUUCUCCGAUUUCCUCGUGACAUCUCCCCCUCCCCCUCGAAAAAAGAAAGAAAAAAAAAGAAAGGAAGGAAGGAAGGAAGAAAGAAAGGGGCAAGUGUCAGCCACCGCUUUCGACGAAGUAUUUAUCCGAAUGGUGAGGGUGAGCGUGCGAGGGUGAAAUGUAAAAGCAAUCAGUCGCUUUAAAAGAUUCAAAAACGUCCAAAGGGAUGCCGAGAUGCGCCAUUAUAGAUUCUAUUAUGCACGGUUCUGAAGAGAGAGUUAAAGAGCCUGAAUAAUUUCCACCUUUUCGGUCAUAUAGGUGAGGAAAAUGUUUAGUACCUUCUUCCAUUAUCCCUCUUCCUUUUUUUCCCCCCUCCGCAUUUUUUUACACUCCCCUUCCUCUCUCUCUCUCUCCAAUCACAGCCUCUUCUGGUUUUUUUUAAAAUCCAACCCAACGCGAAAGCUUUUAUUUUCUUUCUUCCUCUUUCCUCCCUCCUAUUCUUCUUCUCCCUUUUUUCCCAACCAAUGUAGUUAAGUUCUAGAUUAGAAAUCGAAUUCGGUGUAAACUCGAUUCCUUCCCAUCGAUAAUCCUAUAAUCCAUCGGACAUGCCCCGUGUAAAGGAAUAAUUUUGGUUCGUUUAACACCGAAAUUUUCCCUUUUCCAUCCCCUUUAUCAACGCUGCGAUACCCUUUAUCCGUUGCUUAUCCCGUUCUCUCGUUCUCGUUCGAGUGUUUGUCUGACGGAAUCGAGCGCGAAUCGGGGAAGGCCACGUCCCUGUAAAAAAAAAAAAAAAAAAGGCUAACCAAUGAGUAGCGAAGAUUCAAUUAUUUUCGGUUGGUGAACACUUGGAAGAGUAGCCCUCUUCUCCUAUCGGUUUGAUAAGAGAAAGAUUCGUACGAUAUCAGGAUUUCAUCCUUCCUCGAUGAAAGAGCUUGGAGCUUUUCAUUCGACAGUUCAUCUCUCGAUAUAUAUAAAGAUCUAUUUUUACCCGGAGACGCGCUAUUAUUUCUUACCAUGGAUGUCCCAUUGUUACGAGGAAUAACAGUGGAGGGGGGAGAUGUUCUUGAUUUUCUUUCUCCCUCUGGAGAUCAAAAAAUUAUCUCGGUUAAUUAAAUCUAUCCCCCCAUCUUUGUUGUAUCCCGUGAUAAAGAAAAUCGAAUUAUAUUUAAUUCAAUGGCGAUAUAUUAUUUGUGUUUGGUUUUAUAAUUAUAAAAAAAAAAAUAAAUGGACGGAAAAAAGGGAGAAAGAAAGAAAAGUUUGUCUGAAUUCUUGCAGGUUCUUCUUCUUCUUUUUCCCUUUCGAUUAAUUAUUGGAACGAUUUUAAGUUUCACUUUGAAAUUGCUUCCUUUGUGAGCCGGAUCGUUAAACGCCGCUUUCCAAUUCGGAUUGCCAAAGCAAGAAGAAAUGCUAUUUUCAUUUGCACGGUGUCUGUCAAUGUAGAUCGAUUUCGUUCGCGUCUGUUUGCUGUACUUGGCCCUCGGCUCCCUGUUAAUUGAUACAUCGAGGACACCGGGUACGUUUAAUUGAACGAAGAAGCGAGCCGGGCGAAUUAACAUUUAAUUACAGGAUUCAGGUAUUUCAAUGCCACCUCUUUCUUUCCAACUUUUCAUUUUACACCGUGACCGAGAAAAAGGUGCGACGUGUAAUUAGAUGCUAAUUAGUCAUUCACAGUUUCUUUGGCGGUGAACUUUAGAAGGCAAUUUAAAUUGAUUCAACACGAUUCAUUCUUCCCGUUUGUUAUUACGCGUUUCCUUGGUAAAAUUAUGUUUACGGAGAUGCGAGAUUGAAUAACGAAGAAGAGCCACCGUUUCUUUUUACGUAUAAUUAAUUGAUACAUUCAUCUUUGUUGAUUUUAGAGGUAGAAAUGUAAAAAUGUUUGUGUAGAAAAAUUAUUUGUUUCUGCGUUGAAGAAUAACGAAGCAAACUUUACGCAAUUCUUCGUAACUUAAUAAUACCGUGUCUUAAUAGGUUUAAUAAAUAUAAUUUCUCUAUUUGAAUAUUCCGCACGAAUGAUUUUAAUUACGAUAAAAAAAAGAAUCCAAAUCUUUAUUGGCAUCGUAUCGACACACUUACUUUGAAUCAACGUUCAUAGAUAUCUCGUUCCUCUUCGAUAUCUAAAAAAAAAAAGAAAAAGAGAGAGAUUCAGAAAGAAGGAAGAAGUUUCCUCGCAACAACGCGACUCCAAACGAGGCAAAAAGUGGCGAGGAGGGGAAAAGAGAAAAAAGAAGAAGAAAAAGAUCCUUUGUUCGUUCCAGAUCUCCCGGCUCGACUUCUUCCACAGCAUAUUUAUUAAAACGCGAGAGCCCUUUUUAGGAAACGCUUUACGCUGUUUUCCUCUUCAAUGUCGAGGUGGAGGAGCGCGAGUGUCGCGCGGUCCUUAUUAUGAUAAAACGGAGGAAGGUAUCUCCGGUCCUUUGUUCACUCAAUGAAACGAAAAUUUGUUUAACUCGAGUAAUUGUUGUUCUCCUCUCGUCACCCCGUUGCCUCUCUUUAUUAAGUCUGUUCCCGCGUAGCAGCCGCGGUGCCCUUUGUCACGUACCGGUUUAAAUGACGUUAAGUAAAUUGAACCGUUGCGGAGGGUCGUUUAGUCGGCUGUGAUUAUUAUUUUCGUGCCAACCGCGCACCUGUCUGUGCAAUAGUUGUCAAAGAAAUCCGAUUUCAUUUCCAUCCGAUGCGAGAUCCACAUCGCUCGUCGAUUAAUCCCAUCGUGCUCGUUCGUAAUUGUAAUUGCAAAGUCGUAACCACCGAGAAUCUGCCCUCCCCCUCUCUUCCCCCUCCCUCUUUGUCUCACUUUAUCGCGAAAUUGCGCGUUAAGAUCGCUUCUCUUCUUUCGGUUAUCGUUAGCCUCAUCGUGCACCCGUGUAUCCUCUCACAAAGAAGUUAUUAACCUGUCAGACCUGUAUCCUUUCGAGGCCCCCUUCAACCUGAAUUUCCAUCGUGAUUCCCCCCAUCCCCUCACCUUGGGGAUAAUAAAAUCUCGAAAAUGUACUGCGUGUUUCCUUCAAAGUUAAAAAAUGGAAUAUAAUAAUAUUCAGUGAAGGGGGAUGAAGAUGUCGAAGAGAUAUUUCUCAGGAAUUUUUAAGAUUUUUUCGAAGGCAUAUCGAAUCGUUAAUAAAUUCAACUCAGGUUGAAGGCUAAUGCUGCUUAAUUACCUUCUUUGUUUUUUUUCUUUUAAAGAUUUAAAACGGCAAUGAUAAAAAUUAAUUCACGAAUUUUUAUUAAUACGAUAACUUUAUUGAUCUUUAUCCAGUUCAUCCGGUUAAAAAAAUUCUAUUUAUUCGCAAAGUAUGGACGCGAGAUAAAUAUAAAUUUAUUAUACAAGUUUAUUUGAGACGUAACAUCGAUGUCUUUGAAGAAAAAAAAGAAAUAUCGCGACAGGGGAUCGGUGCAACGCCCCUUUAAAGGGAUUCCCCGGUAAUCCAAUUUGCCGGUCGAACGAUAUUAAUGGAUCGGAACAAUGCCACGCUCCUUCCGUUUCACGAAUUAUUCGAGACAGAAUAAUCCUUAAAUAUUAUGUCUGACAAUCUCGAGAUCUUCCUUUCUCUCUCUCUCUCUCUUCGAUUAUAAAUCCUCGCGUUGAUUUUAGACGUAUCGAUUUUCAACAUCCUGUUUCUUUCUUUCCCAUUUCCUUCCUUUCGUGGAUUAAGAAAAUCGGUUCGGAUGAAUCGAGCGGUUUAACACGGGCGGGAAUUCGAAGGGGAAAAACGAUUUUGAUUCUUCGCCCUCUUAUCGCGAAUUUCAAUGGCGGUAAGAGCUCCAAGUCGAAGCAAAGAGCGAAUCGAAGAUGUUGAAGUUUGCACGGGAUAUUUUUUUUAAUUCAAAGGAUUAUUUCUUCCUUUCCCGUCUCGAGUUGUUCCUUCGAUCAUCGUUUCUUUCUUUCUUUUUUCUUUUUUAAAGGUUCGUGGGGCGAAGCGAGCGUAAAUGAAAUCGAGGAUCUUUCAAAGAGAAGAGGAGAGAGAAGGAGAGAUCUUUUUUUAUUUUUUUAAAUUUGCUGAUUAAAAUAUGCUGAGAAUGAAAAGUUCUGCAUCGACUCGUAAAUUAAAUUUGAAAAUAAUAAAAGUUGUAUAUAUUUAAAUACGCACAAGAAUUAUAGAAGUACGAUUUUUGGAAUAUGGAUGCAUUGUUCCAUUUCUCUUUUUAAAUUUAACAGAAAUUCGAGAUAACGUUGUGUAGAAUAUUUAUUCAACGUUUCUUUCCUUCUUCUUCUUCUUUUUUUUUUUAAUGAUAAAUUUUAUGUUUCAUUAUUCAUCGAGAAAAAAGCAAAAGGAGUAAUUUGUUCCAACAUUCUGGUUGGCAAGAUCAAAUUUGAAAGGUAAUUGUUCCAAGAAAAAACUUCGUAUCUUGGAAAAAUUCUAUAGUGUACUCUUGUUUCCACCCCUACGGUCAUCUCUUGACCGACCAUUUUUUUAUAUAAAAUGUUUGUUCUCCACCCAUUCCACCCGAGCACGUGCGUACCUUGUGCAUAGCAACCCUUUAGCUUAACGCGAGGUUAAACAAGAACACGCUGUACACUUCGAGCUAAAAAUGUCCGUCAGAAGUGUAGCACUUACAAUUCUUCUCACCGUCCAUUACUCCACGCCUUUUUUGAUUCUGGUGAGAAAAAAUAAUAAUGGGCCAAUUUUCAGCCUCACCUUAAUUACGAGCAUACUUGUUUUUUAAUUCUUCUUUAAGCAAAUAUCAAGAAAUACAUUAUAACAAACAUCCUCAUUUCAAGGGAAACGUAUCUCAUCUUAUCCAAAUCUUCUUCCACCAUCGACAUCGUCGAAUCGAUUAAACUGAUUCGCGGCUUUCCUUCGAGACGUCGUUGACGACAGCCGGCGAAAGGAAGAAGAUGGCGGCAUCGGGGAAAAGGCGAGCGGCGAGGGAAUAACGAAAUUAAAAGCGUCUGUCGCGGCUAGGGAGGGGAGGGUGUCGCCUGGAGGUUGCAAGCUUGACGGCCGACCGAACGAGCGAAAAUAAUAGAAUGGCGCGCCGACAACUCCGGCAUUGUCCGCGUUUAAAGUUUACGUUUCGUCGUGCACCCCUUUCGCGCGUGGAAAACCUGAAAAAAGAAAAAAGAAACGGCCAAGAAGAGCCUAGGGCCGAGUCUCGAACCCCUUUCUUCUCACCUUUCAUCCUCUUCAUCCACCCCUUCUUUCUCUCUCUCUCUUCUCCGUCCUCUUUUCUUCCUCUCGCGCAGCGAAGAAGCGAAACACCCCCCGGGAAUCCUAUAUCCCCCGUUUCGCGGGGAAAUAAUAAAGGAAUGGCACACGGCCAUUAAAGGGUGAGGUGGACGAGAUGGCGAGAUGACAGUUCUCAGUUUCGCCAGAGUUGGUGUUUUUCGAGGUGGAAUUCGUGUGCACGAUAUGCUGACGAACGAAUUGGAUUCGUAAUUCGUUGAAUUAUGCAAUUCGGGCAAGUUUCCAAGGGGGAGGGGAGAGUUCCGUGGAAAUUCCGUCGUCGCGUGAUGUUUGGGCCAGGGUUUCUUCUCGGAAGAUUUGAAAUUGUUUGUAUUUUCGUCUUUCCUCUUUUCGUUCGAAUUUAUUUUCGACAAAUUCAUCGUUGAAUUCUCUUUAACAAAGAGAAAGUUGAAAAUUGAAUGUUAAAAAUUGGGAUAAGUGAAAGAAACGAUGGAUUUCUGAAAAUCAAUAAACGGAUCAAAGGGAUGUUCCUCCUACGUCCUGUUCGAGAAAAGGAAAGAAUAAAGGAAUACGAGGAAUGAUUCAUGGAAAUUACGCGACAGUCUGUUCGAAAGCAAAUGCGAGUGUAAUGAUAUUACUACGAGCUCCACAAUUGCGGUAUUGUUAAGCUCUUGGAGGGUGGUCCAAUGAGUAGACGCGCAAAUAAUGGAGGGAAAACGUCGGUCUGGACGACUCGUGCGGGGUAUGUUAUAGAACCGUAAGUGUACGAGGGUGGAAAAGUACGAUUUCGAACGUAUAUAUAUCUUGGACAGUGUAGACGGAAGGUCAUGGGGCGCAAAGUGAUUCGAAAUGGAGAAAGAAUGGGUGACGUUUCGGGGGUUGCAGUGUUGGCGUGAUACUGAUGGCGUUAGACGAGGCUUUUUGUCAUUGGAUUUAACGGCCACAGGCUGGGAAGGGCGAGUUUGCAUGAAUCAAAGGAAUUGAUUUCGUUCGUGACAUCGUGUUACUUUUUUAUUUCGUCGAAGGGAGCGAAGCUUCAAUGCCGCUUCUUUCGUCGUUUCUCUUUCGCUUCUUCUGGAAAUGCAAGUAAAAUCUCCAAAUUUUAUUUCCUCCUAUUGGCAAAUUACAAGAGAAUUCGUGGAACAAUAUUGAUUUUCAGAUUCACCUCGGAUUCAGAUAUUUUUCCAACGGAAUUGGAGUUGCGCUGGAAAAUUGAGCGACCCGCUAUGAGAACGAAGAAAGAACUCUGCGCGAAACACGCAUAGGACACGCCACUCCUAUCGUUGAACGGUAUUUCAAGCUGCCAAUUCAAUUCUGACGAAGCAUCGAAUCGGGAAUUUUCAAUUUCUUAUGCAAUGACCAUUUCCAUUUCCCAUUGAAUCGUGCUUCGUCUUGCUCAGGGGGCCAAUUUCACCGAAACACUGGCGUUCUAUCGAUCUCUCGAUGAUUUUGAUUCACUUACGAUUCGAUUUCUAAUGAUUUCCUCCUGGAUGGAAAUUUUAACUCGCGUCCAAUAAUUUCGACGAUGCAUCUGGAAAACACGUGGGAAAAUUUUUCGAUGGAUAACGCAGGUAACGGGACGAGACAAAGUGGAUAGUCGAGUUUGAAUAAAGCGAAAUAAAUUUAUUGUUUGAAAUGUCAGAAAUAUUUCGAGAAAGUCUAUUCUGGUAUGAACUGGUUUCCCGUGUACGAUAUAUCGUUCUGGAAUCGGUGCUCGAGGAUGCCUCGAGAACGUCGAAGAGGUGAAUAAGAAUCAGAAAGGGAAAACGCGAAGGGAAAAAUAGGGGAUGAUUUAGGAUUUCCUGCUACGACGCAUUGGAUUUUCUCUCGUACGAAUUGUAACAUUCUGUAUUUCAUCGUGUACAACUAUGCAACUUAGCGAAUAACAAUUUCUCUCUCUCUCUCUCUAAAUAUUAAAUAUUAUUCAAUAGAAAAAGAUGAUAUAUGAUUUUUUAAAUAUACGUUCUCAAGUAUUAAAUAAGAUCGAUGUAAAAUUGAUAUCCUAACAUCACGUUCAAUUAAACAAUUUUCAUACAGGAACUAAAAAAAAAGUAAUAAUAAUAAUUUUCAGAUUCAACACUAUUCCAAAAUAUAUAUCAAUGAUCCUGUCGUAAUUUAUUCGAGGCAUUUACAGCAAGCAUCGAUAUCUUUAUCGAAAGAUGGAAAAGUCGAAAACGACUGUACUCGCGUUAAAGAACGGGAAAAGUCGAGGAUAAACUAAUUUCUCAACUUCCCUUCGGAACGAGCAUCCUCUUCUAUUUAUCUUAAUUAUUCAUACCCGUUCUCGAGUCAUCGCCGCGGAUCGACGCGGGGAAGUAACGUUCUCGACCGGAAUGCGAGUCCCGGAAGUGUCGGCAGGGCGUGGAGGAGCACGAGAGCCGAAUAUUAAUUGGUCUUAAUUAUGCGCGGCGGAGGGCUCGUUUUAACACGGGGCCAAGUUUUUCGCGAGUCCACCCUCCUUCACCCUCCUUCCCCCUUCCUUUAUGGACCCCCCUCGGUUGAUGCAAGGGUACGCGGGAGGCUUUAAAAGGAAGUUACACGGCGCGGAACGGAAAAUGGUCCCUCGACGAGUUUUGCCAUUGUGGUUUAUCGAAUUUUCUCUUCUUUCCGUGGCAAGUUUCGAGUGCUCUGAGCGGCUGCGCUCAGAACCAGACACAUUUCAAUUAACGUCUCCUUUACGAAAUUCCUGAUUAACUUUGCAUUCCAUUGAUUAAUUGAAUCCGGGGGAGGGGAGAGAGAAAUUUUUCUUUCACUCGUCCCCUUACCAUUGAACUUUGCUUUUCUUGUGUCCAAUUAUUAUUAUUGUCGUCGUUGGUAUUUAUUUUUUUUAAGUAUCGUCUCUUUCAAGAGAAUCAAAGAAUUCUUUGUUACACCAAGAAUAACUUUUAAAAGUUAUAUUCUUUUUUUUACACAAAUGUUACUUUCUUAUAUAUUAAAUUAAAACUUUUUCUUCGAUUGAAAUCUUCUUGAAAAACGCUCGAUAAAAUUCUGCCGUAUUCCCAUUAUUUAUAGAUAUAACGGGAGAAUCAAAAGGAUUUUUUUCCCCCUCAUAGCCUUGAACUUCCCUCCUCUCAUCAUUAUGUCCGCCAUCAUUGAUCUUUAUCCUUCCCUCUCUAUCCUCUCUUUCGCACAGCCUGAUUUAACGGUAUGUAAAAUCGAUCCGGGGUGCUUUUCACGGUUUGCUUCUCCAUUCGCCGCGGACCCCUCCUCUAUUCCCACGCGCGCUGGAUUUUUAUAGCUGUACCUUUCUUUUUUUCUUUUUUCUUUUUUCUUUUUUUUUUUCUUUUCCCAUGGAAAAGCCUAUUUAGCUUGUACGUGGAUACGAUGUAAAUGCGGCAAGUUACGGGAACGAAAGCUCUCUCUCUCUCCCGACGAGAGAACUUCCAAUCUCCCGAGGCGAGAAGGAAUGCGAUUAAGCGUUGAUGGCUUCCUAAAUGCAAACAACCCCCGAAACCGUAAUCACCGGAGACAAUCACGCCGCGACAAAGGGUAGACGAUGUUUUACUGGAAGAAGAAUAAAUGACAGAGGCACUCGGGGAGGAGGAUGUCAAUUAACCGACACCUCUUCAUUCGACGCCCUCGUAGGAAAACAGUUUUCCUAUGACCUCUCCCUCCCCCUCGCGUUUUCAAGUUCGUUGUAACGAAUGUUCGAAAUGUGCUCGUUCCUCGCGAAUAUUUUAUUUUAUUUUAUUUGCAAGGAAUUUUAGAAAUUUUUUUGUAAAAAAAACUUGUAAAAUUUUACGAUACGAUAAAAUGUAUAAAAUAUUUAACGAGUAAACAUUUGAAAGGGAGUUGGAAAUGUUAAAUUGGACGAAAGAUUGAAUCGAGUUGGAAAUAAUAAUGAUUGUUACGGUUUCGAAAAUGUAAAUACGAGAAUAAAAACAAAUCGAUAUACGUAUCGUAUAUAAGCGAGUUCGGUGGGGAUUUGUUUAUAUUAGAAUCGAUACACCUUUAUUCGUCGCAGUAUAGAAGUUCGCGUCGAGGUUGUCGGUCGUGCGUAAAAUCUUGGAGUAAAAUCUCGUAUUAGAGAAGUUUUCGUUUAAAUUUUUUAAAUUUAUUUAAUAGCGAGAAAUAGCAAUAAUUUAUUUUGAAAGUUUCUUUUCAUUUUCAACGACAAAACGACAAGUAUCGGUAUUAUAUGGAUUAUGAAUUCCAGUCGAUAUCAACGAACUUUUGUUCAAUUAGAAUAAAAGAAUCUUUGUGAAAUAUCUACGCAAAAAAUAAAUUAUUCGACUUCGAACAUUCAAAUUGUAAUCUAAUAUAAGAAUUUUUCUAUCUUAAGAAGAAAGGAAAAGAGAAAUUAGAAGAUCCUUAUCCGUUCAACCAGUCUCGAACAUUCGAACAUCGUCCAAGCCAUUAAACCAAUUCAACCACCAAGAAUCAUGGGCCAUGAUUUUGCAUACAAGGCGUUCAAGUAACAGAAACGAUGGAGAAAAGGUGUUAUCGUGUGUGUUAUUGCACGUGAUACGCUUAAGCAGAGUGGCGCAGCUUAUCGUCAGCCGGAGGGUGGCAGGAAUUCGUGUCGGGUUACUUGCCCUCCUCGCAUACCAUUUCGACGUGGUGGCAUCCAUCCCCCGCUAUCUCGUCAUCAAGAUCCUCCCUGUCCUUAUAUUAAAGCCAGCCAUCCCUUCGAAGUUGCAACAGCAUGUAUUCCAGUCUCCUCCUCCACGUGUGAGGAGCAAUGACUCCGUCUUACAGGAAGAAAAAAGAAAACGCGAAUCCUUCGUUUAUUUUCCCGAUGUUUUCUUCAUCUUCUUUUCGAUAUGAUGCGCGAGACUGAAAAUAUCGUAGAAUACUUGCUGGGAGAGGAAUCGGUUGAAGUUCGUAAGUGGAAUUAAUUAAAAUUGUAAUUUAUUUUUUCUUUAGAUAGAUUUAAAAGAACGUAGUCGUAAAUAUUUGGAUAUUCGGAAAUAAUCAUCCAGAUUAUUUUGGUAUUUGGAAGUUUAAAAAUUUUUUUAAUCCAACUAGAUCGUGAAUUAUUCGAAUAUUAAUGUUUACGACUCCUACUUGUUGACAAUUGAUUUUUCUCGUCUCGUUAUUUGAAUAAACAUGUUGUCGAUACGAGUUUCUUCGUAUUUUUUCAAUGCAAUUAUUUUAAAUUAGAGCGAGCUCGUUGAAAAUGGCAAGGUUGUCUCGAUAAGGUUGUCGUUAUUUUCGAAGGAAGGAAAAGGGGCAAAGGAGGGGUUCGAUGACGUGUGUACAGAAAAAAUUGCCGGCCCUUUAAUUAAUUACACGUUGGACGAAAGAACGAUGGGGACGAAAAAAAGAAAAUAUUGGAAAAAGUGGUACAGUUAACUUUACCAUUAACAGAACGAAUUUGAUUAAAUUCCCUCGUAUUCUUGAUAUAAAAUUACCGUUGAAAUGUAAUUAAUUUAGCACGGGCCCGUCCCCGUAAAAUUUCUAACAAAUUGCGUUCCAUGGUUAAAAGGGGGCCAAUUACAAGUUGCAUAAAUUACGAGAUAUUUCAUACUCGUGGAAAACUAUGAUAUUUAAUUUUGUGUCUCGUUGACACAAAAUGACACUUUCGAUCAGCGAGGAGAGAAAAAAAAAAGAAAAAAGAAAGAAAUAACGAGACGAGACGUACGUGAUAUUCAUACGUAAGCGAAAUUAACGUUUCGAUUCACGUUUGUUAAGCGUGAACUAACAUUAACAUAGAAGGGAAAAAAGUAGAGAAAGCUUUCUCUUUUCUGUUUGCUAUCCCCCUCCAGUAUCCUUGUUCACACAAUAAUGUUCCUCGUGUUCCUCCUUCCUUGAAACGGAAGCUCUUUGACUAGGAAGAAAGGCUGUAAAUAUUACAGAAUAUCCGGAACAUGAGUUGAUGGUACGAGUGAAAGCUAUUUUUUAUUUGGGAUGGAUUUUAACAAUACAGACGCGUUUCAUCCCCUCCCUCCUAUAAAACUUUAUUACUUUCCAAUAUUUAAAAUUCGUCGUAAAACAAAAUUAUUUGAUUUGAUUAUAUAAUAGAGCACUAUAUUUAUUAAUAUGUCAAUUUUCUGUUUUAUUUCAGCGUUGAGGAAAAUAAGAUUUUGUAAAAGAUAAGAUUGAAGAUAUUGGGAGUUGAUAAGAGAAGUUUUAGUUAUCGAGAAUUUCCAUUAAUCUGUAUUAAUCUUGGCGAAAUUACCUCUGUUUCGUCUGUCUCCUGGUAGGCCACGAAUAAACACAGUAACGAGUGAGAUUUAGAAGCUCCUCGGGGACCUUAUUCUCGCUUUCUAAUCAACGUGAAACACACAAGAUGAUAAACGAUAGUUGGAGGAACUUGUGCUUCAACAACGAUUCAUUGAAAACUUUGAAAAAAUGAAAAUCUGAAGAAGCUUACCUUUUUGGAUGAAAUCUCGGUUGUUUAAGAGUUUACUCUAAUCAUAUUCAUAAUUUUCACUUAACUUUUACGUAUUAUCACGUUUCAUUAAGAUACAAACCGACGUAGAUUUGACAAGACGUAGAUAGACAAUUUGACUUCAACAAUUUCACAUUGAAUGAUGAUAAUGAUGAUGAUUCAAGUCUUAAAGAAUUCAAAUGUCAAAUUCUUUUUGAAAUAAUAGAAUAGAAUUUCAUAACUUCAUAUCGCGCUAAAUAAAAAGUUUCGUUUCUCUGUGAUAAUAAUUAUCGCUUAAUCGCAGUAAUAAACCGUGAUAAAAAGGAACUAUAAAACGGGCAAAGAACCAACACUUGGUUGCUCAAUGAUGAAUGAAUCAAGGGACGAUUACAGGGAAGUUGGUUCGAGAAGUUCGGAUGACUGUUCACGACACCGGCGUGGAAAAUGAAAAGUCCUAGUGAGAAAUGGAGUUUUAAUUGGGCGACGAUAAAAGCGCAUCGCCUCGAUUACUCUCUCUCUCUCUCCCUCUUUCUGUCUAUAAUUUUUCAUCCCCCUCGAGCGAUGGACGAAGGAAGGAAAUACGCCGAUAUUCCACUCGCGGAAACGUUCUUCGAUUCUUGAACUUGAUUUCAACUAGGCGGCUGGGUAUUUUUAUUGUUAUUAUUAAAAUUCCCUAGGAUCGAAGUUUCUUGGCCGGCGGCGCUCGCAUUAAAAUUUUUACGAGGCAUCCAGCCGGAAAACUAAGUUUCUUCGUUCCUCGGCUUGUUUUCAAAGUAUCACACAAACCUGUUUCCCCUUCUUUUUAAGCAACUUGCUGCUAGAAGAACAAUCCCUUCCUCCUCUUUCCUCUCCCCUUUUCUCGCUUAUUUAUUUAUUUAUUUUUUUUUUCUAUUCUCUCCAGAGUGGCAACGCUUCACGGGUUUCUUUCGACGGCGUUUAUUAUUUCUCAACGCCAAGGAAAAUUUAUGUGGUUCCCCGUAGUGUCACGUGACACCAUUCGAUGUCACCGACCAUCCAACAAACUUUCAAUGGGAGAAAUUUUCCACGGAUCAGCUUCUUUUCUUUUUUAUUUUUAUUUUUAUUUUUUUCUGCAAUUGUACAUACAAAUCGUUUGAAUCGUUUUGGGAAUAGUUUUAUAAUAGAUGGAAAGAAUGAAAAAAAAAAAAUAUUCAUAAAUUGAUCGUCAAUGGGGAAUAGAUGUAGAUUGAAGUAAUUUAAUAUUUCACGAAUCGUUAAAUUCAUUUAAUGGCAAAGUGCGUAGCAAUGUGUUAUCGUGUGUGGAAACAAAAAAUUGAAAAUUAUGGAAGAAAGCAUAGAAGCAUUUUUUGUAAAGUUAACCAGAUGCAUCAUGUUAAAAAAAUAAUUCGAAAACAAACAGAUCGUGUAUUUCAAGUCAUCAUAUAGUUAUAACAGGGUCUUGGAGGGCGGGUUGCCGUUGGCAGCUGUUGCCUUCUCUCCUCUACACUCCGCCAAAGAUCUCCCCCGUACACAGGCUGUAUUAAAUCGUGAAAAAUGGAUAUUUUGAUCCGAGCGUAUAUCGACAAGCAAUCCCUUCUCCUUCGCCACUGUCUUCUCUCGCCGUGGUGAUUUAUGGGAGACGCAUAUCGAGUGUAUUACGCGAGAAACAAUAUCUCCUUGACGCGUGACUCGCGUACUUUCGAAUAAGCUUGCGAAUAGAAAUUCUGGGGGUGGCGCCACGACGCUUAAAACGUCGUUAAUCCCCCUGUUUCCGCGCUCUGGAGAGGAGGAAAUUUAUUGAGAAUUGUUUGGGACACGAUAUAAAAAGUAUCGGACGAGUUAUUUGAGCGUGGAAUGGAAACGCUGUCGAAAGGAAAUUUUUGUUUCGAGUUUGGGGGCAAUUUUGAGGGAAGUAUAUAUUUUUUCGAUCAAGGAGAGCGCAAGAAUCGAAAUUGAUUUCUUUGAAAAAUGUAAUAGGGACGAAAGCGUGCGGUGAUAGCUCCUACGAAGGGAGUGAAAAAGGAGGAUGAAUUUCACGACGAGUCGGUUUUAAUUGGAGUGUGCGAUGGCUCAUUGUAAGGGAAAUUAGGACGGGCACUCGUGUUUGGAACUGGAAUCGUGUUUUUUGACGACCGUGGAAAGAGAGACUUUUCUAAUUAAAAGCGCUUACCCACCUCCGUGUCGUCAAUAGCUUAAUUUGUCGCUAGGCUCAAUUCAGAAUUGUCGGGGAAAUUAGCAGUAUAAUUAUCGAAUUUGCAAAUUUCCAAGUAUCUCCGCCUUUAUAUUUUCCUUUUGUUCGUCCCUUUGCUCGAAAAAUCCUUCCAACUCGAUCCAAUUAUUUUCAAAACAGGUAUACGCACUUUUUUCUUACCAUGAUACAUGAACAAUUCUUCAUACGCAAAUGGAGUAAAAUUUUUAUUACAAAGCGCGAUUAUCUGCAACGCUAUCGAUCGCAAACAAAAAUAAUGCCAAACUUUUCUCUCACAGGUUCACGAACAAUGUUCGAGGAGUGGGAGUGGAAUUACCUAAGCAAAAAUCGAAAUAACAAUACCGAUAUUUUCCUCGUCUGCGGCUUCGUUCGCAAUUCGUGCACGGAGAGAUCGAAUCGAUAUUUCGAUCGUUGGAACGAGAAAAAGAGUUUCCACGAGUUUUCCUCGGCCCGCGAAAUCGGGGGUGGAAAACGGACCGUGGUGACGGAUCGUGGCCGAAAAAAGGAAGAAAAAAGAGAAAGGGGGAAAAAAUACGACGACGCCAUUUAUUCCCCCGGCAAAGUUUCGUGCUUGAGGAAUGACUCUCGUUAUGCAAGCCGCCGAACACGUCAACGUUUUCAAUUGUACCCCCUUCGUCGGUUACUCGCGGCUUUUUAUUUCGCGGCCAGGCGUUCAGCCGUGAAAUUGCGCCGCUAUAACCGCGUGUCUCGAUUCGAGGAAAAAUCUGUCGCGGGUGUGGGCGCGUAUCGGUUUUUCCAGUCUGCGAUCGAUUGCUUAAGACGGGUGUCGCGCUAUCAUCAACGACGCCUCGUUUUCUCGACAGGGGGAAUUUUUCUUUCUAUCCAACGUAAUUUCCGAUCGAUUGAGUUUGAAGUUUUUUUUUUUCCCCUAUUCGAUCGAAGAGUUGAAACAGACAGUGUGGAUUCGUCGUUAUAAUUAAAAUUAAAGCUCAUGGAUUCUUUUCACAUAUAAUUCCAAGUAGGGAUAUUUACGAAAAUUGUACGUGGUUUUAAAAAUUCGAAGGGAAUUGAUGAAUAUACGUGGAUUUUUGCUUGGCUUUGAUCCACGUUCAAUAUAAAACAUUUGCAAUAGCAAGAUAUUAAAUGAGACUGAUAUAAUAUACAAUUACUUUUAAAUGGUUGAAAAGUUAAUCGAGAGAAACAGAGUUGCCGCAAGACUUGCUCUUGUAAAUACCUCUCCUCAUCCCCAUAUCAUGUCAAAUUGAUCCGUCAAUGGGGGAGAAUCUUGUGGCAUUGACAAAUUGAUGCGAAACGGUGGCGAAUACCAAAGUGAGCGAAGGUUAUUGCAUACAUGAGAUAUCGCAGGGGUAUGACAAAAUUUCACGUAACCGAUCCUAACCGUUUUCAAUAUAUCGAAAUGUUCCUGCGUUAAAAAAUCCCCCUGCAAUUUUAUAUUUCGAAUUUCGCAAAUGAAAUUUGUUUUCAGUAUCCACGAUAAUAAUGAAAAUAUAUAACAAACGAAUAUUUGCGAGCAACAACGAACAAACCGAAUAUCACCAAGAUUCCUCGACUCAAUUUCGAAACGUUCUAAUAGUGGGUCGCGAUCGGUGGUUGAUCCAUCAGGCCGGGACACAUUCAUUCCAACAGACGAAAGUUUGCCGAUAGUUGUGAACGAAGACGAAGGAUGAUUGGUUGGCUUUGCGUGCAACUUGGAGACAGCUCGAAGACAGUGUCCACCGACACGUACGUGUACAGAUCCCCCUUGAAGGAGGAUGGGGAUCGUUCACAUUCGGACAGAUUCCAAUUCCUGAUGCCUUUGCCUCAACCAUCAGCCUUCUGAUUCCCUCUCCUGGAACCACCCUCCGCUAGGCUGGCCGCAAACAAGAGGGUGGGCAAUUUCGGGGUUGCUCAGCGUUUCUACCCUGUUGGACGAUUUCUCUCUCUCUCUCUCUUUCUCUAUCUAUCUGUAUCUCUUUAUCUCGUUCUCUAGCGAUCAACGUUAGACGCUUUCGCAUUCCUUCGAGAACUUCAUCGCCGCUGAGAGAGAUCUUGCUGAUCCGGUGAUUCGAUCGAAGAUUCGAAGGGACGAUUCGUUGGAUCCUUUGUGACAUCGUGGAUAUCCGAUGUUUUUGGGGGGAGGAGGGGGAUGUGCGAAGCUGAUGAGGUCGGAAAGGGGUCUAUUUAAAGUAGUACGUACGAUAUGGAAUAAAUUUUCUAUUCCAUCGCAAAUUAUUUGGAUUUGGAAAUUUGGUAAAUUAAGUACAGUGAGUAAUUGAGAUAAAAGUUUGUUAUAACUCUGAUUUUAAUGAGUGAUUUAUUAUCAAAGAAAAUUCGUUUAAUCCGAGAAUUCUGAUCUUGGCGAAUUAUCUGUUUUGAAUAUUGGAACGAUAGAAUAUUGAUAGUAUUAAAAUUUAAAAUUAUUCGUUUUACACGAAAAAUAAUAUUUAAAAAAAAAAGACCGGUGCGUACAAUCAUUGAGCUGUGUAUUAUAUUCACAAAGUUUCAUUAACAUCAGAGUAAAAUUGAGUUUGUUAAUAAAACUGGUGGUUGGUGGAAUUAUUAUAAAACGUAUGAAUUUUAUGGCUUGCUGUUGCUUUAUCACCGUCUUCCUCUCGUUCAUUUCUUUUUCGAAUUUUUUCCAUUAAAUUUAUCUUGUUUCCGCCAUGUCAUGCGGAGUCUCUCUCAGAUGUGAAGAGAAGAUUUUCCAACGAGCAAGGUAAUUAAUAACGAAAAGCAUACACGUAACUUUCUCUGUACAUAAGUGCUUCGUCAUCAUCCCGUUCAAAAGGCGAAGAAAAAUACAUCGCCUUCGAUCCUCUUUCACGAAAUAAUGAUCUAUCGACUGUACUCUGUCUGCCUGUUACGCGCAGAAUAAAUAAAUACGACUUGCAACUCAAAUCUCAAAGGUAAAAUCUCUACAAUUAAAAUCUUCGAAUAAAAAUUAUAUAAAUAUUAAUACACUUUUUCCAAUUGUAAAAACUCAAGCGAAACAAAAAUAUACAUAUUGUUUUUUUUUCCAGCAAAUCCAAAUCACUUUCCAUCGAUUUCAUUCCAUCGAUCGCUUCGAAUUAAAAUGGACCCGAUCGUUACAACAAUCCUUAAGGGAUCUCUGAAUUCGAGAAUUGAAAUAAAUAGGAAACGAAAAUUAUUUGAUCCCUUACUUAGAGAAAAUACAAUGUUUCCUUGACGCGUUUCCCCUUUUUUCGAAGAGGGGAAAUCGCAAAGACGGGGAGACGCGAUUCCACGAUCGCGAAUAAUUCGAAACAGUUGCGGCCACGUUUUCCAGGGCUAUUUUCACGUUAGACUGGCGCGCUUUACCGUACGUCUGUGGAUUAUUCCGGUGGUGCAAGCGUACCGGAAGCGCAGCCACCGCUCCUGCACCGGACCUUAACGUUUAUUGUUAUCCAGGUUAAUACCCCGGCUCCGUGUUGUGGAAACUCGGAAAAUCCCAGUGUGACCGAGGACAGCUUUGUCUCUUCCGCUCUGCCAGCCCCCCUUUCCCCCUUCCCUUUGUUUUCGUUCGUUUGCCACGCGUCUUUCUCUCCCCCCAUUAGACUCUUUCUCCCACCAUUAGGCUAUUCCAAUGUUUUCCGCGAGAAGAGGACGUGUGAGAGAGAACGGAAAGUGAAUAGGUUUCCGGUGUAAAAAAUAAAAUCGAUGCCUGAUUGGAUACGAGAAGAUAAUCGGUCCGAGGUUAUUUUACCGUGGACGCCGUGGAAUCGAAUUUUUUUUUAAAUUUAUUGGAUACGUUUGAAUUGGAUUUUUUAGUUGGAAAGUGAAAUUUUUCGAUUAAUUUUUAUGCAGGGAAUAAUUUCUGUUUUUUUUUUCUUUUUAAUUUGCGGUACGUGAUUUUCAGCGCGUUGUUUUGGAGAAAAUUUUAAGCUAAUUUUAAGAUUAUAAUAAUCAAGAUUUUAUAUAUUCGGAACGCUAUUUUUAAUAUUGAAAUUAGAUCGAUAAGUUUCCAUAGAUUUUUCUAAAAUUUAGCAAUGAAAAGAUAAAAUAAACACGGCUCGAAGUUUUAUGGAAUCAAUUUUAAAAACGAAAUAACGGAACAUUUUAACGCUUCGUAAAUGAUAUUCCUUGCUUAAAAUUUUCUAAAUUUAAUCGAAUGUUUAUUCUCUUGAUAAAUGGGCGAGAGAAAUUCUUCGUGUCAGAAAUUCUUAUUCUUGGAGUUGUAUAUAUAUUUUGAUUUAUAACAAGCGAGUUUAAUAGAAUGAAAGAAGGUAAUCUGUAUUCAUGGUCGCGAUGUUUCCUGCUUCGUUUUUCUUUUUUCUCCCCCUCCUCCCAAUUUCCAUGUGAAUAAAGGAAAGAUAAACUCUCGGGAAACAGUAAGAGCCACGCCAGUUUUAAAGGUAAAUUUUAAAAGAAAGAUUCUCUCCGUUCCAAAUACCAAGUACCGAUAAAUCAAGAUAUUCAUGAGAUUUUGAGAAUCGUUAUCGCGUUCAGAAUGGAAAAAUACCAGUUUCCCCGUAGAAAUGAAAUUAAAUAAAAUAACUCUGGAUGCUGGAUAAAUUAAUUUUUCUGAUACGUCGCGCGACGAUUAUAGUCCAGGCUAAUCUCCAGGUGAAAAAUAAUGUACGAGAUUCUCCAAACUUUUUAUUCUCGCCGUUCCAUUUUCUUUUCAUCGAUAAAUAAACGUGGGACGCGGCAAAGAAUCGUGGGAACAGCGAUAUCCCAGGUGUUCCAGAUCGGACAAAAACAAGAGAAUAAAGAUAAAAUUCUAUCGAUAGAAUAAAAUUCUGGAAACGUCUUUCCUUCUACACGAUUCUACCCUCUUUACUGGAUAAUUGGACAAGAGGGAAAUAAAAUAUGAAAUCCUUUGAUCUCGUUAAAGAAAGAUUCCGAAGAUCGAAUUCGAAACGAUCAUUCCAUAAAAUAAUCCUAGAAAAUUUGAAAAUUUUACCAAGAAAAGGAAGGAGGAAAGAAAAAUUGAAACUUCCAGUCAAUGUGUCUAUUUACUUAUGUAUUUUUACAUAUAUAUAUUUGUCUCGAUUCUAUUUCUCUUACAGAUGAAUACAGAAUUUCAUUUUAUACAUAGAUGGCUUGGUUUCUUCCCAGAGAGAUAAAAAUUAAUGCAGGGUCAAAAAUUCAUAAAGACGGUCUCACCCCGCCGCAAGAUGGAACAUUCCUCCCCAUUUUCCACGUGGAUUUUACAGAUAUAGAAUUACAUUUUCGCCACAACUCCACCAUCAAUUUGCGCACGCAUAAUUUUCACGCGUGCAUCUUUGAUAUGAUCCCAUCGUUCAUUCGCAGUGUAACGCGCAAAUGAAACAAACCGUGAGCGUGGAACUAGCGAGGGUAGAAAAGGGGCAGAACUUUUUCCUUCAUUUCGUCUCGCCCAUUCACCAUCCCUAUCUCCACCGUUUAAACCCUUCCUUCCUUCCUUCCUUCCUUCCUUCCAUCCUCUCUUUCCUUUCCUUUCCUCGUCCACGGGUUUUCGCGCUGCUAAACGUUCCCUGUUCGGGCGUACAAGUACCCUUCCCCCUCCCCCUCUCCGUGCUCGGGCAAGGAAAAAGAGACGGAAAAGGAGGGAAGGCGCGCGGGGUGAAUUUAUGCUUCAUUCGUACACGUUACGUAUACACGAUGAGGAAACGAGUGAAGCGUAAAUUAUGGUACCCUCUUGAACGAGAGCUCCGACUUUCUAUACUUCAACCUCAACCUGUGCCUUGUUUCUCCUCGAGAGGGAGAGAAACAGAGAGAGAAACAGAGAGAGAGAGAGAGAGAUGGUAAUAGAGAAGAGGAAGAAAGAAAGGGGAGAAUGAAGGAGCGAGAGGGAAGAGUUGUUGGUUGGAGGGAUGUCUUUUAUUGUUUCAGGCCGAGGAGAGAAGAGAUCGUUCUAUCCAACGGGAUGAGAAAUUUAAUUUUAAAAAAAUACCACCCCCUCCUUGUGAUCCUGCAACAAGAUUGGAUACGAUUUCCUCUUUGUCGUUCCUCGUUCGAACGUUAUUUGACGUUCUUCCUCCUUCUCGUUGAUGAUGAGAGAACACUCCCCAUCCGUCCGACUAUUCUGAUGAGAAAAAUUUAAAAAAGAAAGAGAGAGAGAGAGAGAGAAAGAAAGGGAAAGAGAGGAAGAGAAGAAGAGAGUUCAGGGCCUGGAGGCGGUUCUCGCGAGCGAGACUCUCCAGAGUCUCUUCCACUCUUCAAAUCUCUCUCUUAAACACUCGGUUUAUUCUGCCAGCCUGUUUUUCAGUAAACAAACGAGCCGGCUGUGAAUUGGUAACGCUCGUCAAAGAUAUUCGCGCGUCGUCUAUCCUGGGGGCGUGUUUCAAGCUUUUGCAUCGAAUUAACGCGAUGACGAUGCGUUCCCUCCCUCUCCUUCCCGCGGAAUUACACCGCUGUUGAAAUUGAAACGCGUCAUGGUUCAAUUUGAAUAAUUGUUCUUCCUCUCUCUCUCUUUUUUCUCUUUUUUUUUUUUACUCGUGGCUCAUUUCCUCAUUUCCCGUGUGAUUGUGUGAUUUUUGCGUUCGAGAUGAAAGAGAUGUUCAUUAUUGCGCUACAAUGAUGUUGUUCUCGUUAAAUAUACAGUCGAAAAACGAGAGAUCUUCGAAGCUUAUCCCGACGAAAUUAUCCCGAAAUGAUCUGAAGAGGCUACGAUAAUUUUUUUAAACGCUGAAAGGGAGACGUUUCGAUACGAGAAAAAGAAACUUAAUCCACUUAAUCCAUAAUUCCAUUCACAGGUUGCACGAUCGAGAGAACGGAUCUAAAUCGCAACAAGUGAUCGGAAGAGAAUUUAACAAACCCUACAAUUUCCUCGAGCCGUUCCACGUUCAACAAUUCGAUCCGCACGCAGGAUUACAGGAUCCCCGAUAAUUCGAAUACCACCAAACGGUAUGGAACGUUCGUUUUUUUUUUUUUUCCGCCUCCGAUCGAAAGCGUUUUCACGAGCCUCCACCCCCUCGGUAUCCCAACACCCCGGAAUCCUCCAAGCCAAGGUAAUCAACGACGGUCCUCGUCGUCGUCGUCGUCGUCGUCGUCGUCGUCAUCGCUCUUAAAUAGCUCGGAUGGAAAAGCCCAUAUUUCCGAGGCAGCUUACCCCCGGAUACAGGGGGAGGAGGGAGAGGGAAGCGCUAAUUGACUGGCUCCGUCGCCUCCGGUUUUUGAAACGAAUUAGUUGACGACGAAUCCGAUUCAGUCGCAUCCUUUCAGACCCUUUCCUCUCCUGUUUACCCCUCCAACACACUCACAGCCUCCCUUAUGGCUCGCGUUUUUCAGACCCACAUCUCGUUAUGUCGGUGUUCCGCGGACAGGCGAACGAGCUAAGCUCGGGGAGGAGGGGAUGAGACGAGAAUGGGGAGGACGGUUUUUGUCAACCCAUCGAGAGAAUUUGCCGAGUUAAUUCGAAUGGCGUGGUAACUAUGCUUAAUUAGCAUCGAGCUGUGUAAUUUAAUGUCUCUGACCAGGGAAGGGAGCUUCUUCUCGAAUCCAAUCCCGGCGAGUUCUUUGAACCGUAGGGAGAAGAGUGUGUUUAUCGGUGGCUGAGGAUAAAUUCUUUAUCGUUGGAAAUUUGUCAGAGAUUUGUGACGAAUUUCUGAUCGAGACGAGAAAGAUAUCGUACGUAUUGGACGGUAAUAUUAUUAUCAAGAAAAGGUAGAAUUAUUUGCAGUUAGUGAAACGUAAAUGUUGUAGUUUUAAUUAUAAAUUACCUCAAAGUUGUUUCGUUACGAAAGAAAUUGGAUAUUGGGGAUAUUGUUUCAUUCGUAUCGUAAUUUAAAUUUACAAUUUUUAAAUAUUAACGAUGAUGAAAUAAACAUGAAUGAUUAUAAAAUUAAUUAUUUAACAUUAAUAUUAAUGUUCUUAUUAAUAUUGAUGUUGUUAAAUAUCGCUAUUGGUAUUAAUAUUAUUCGUAAUACUAUGAUUGAUAAUUGAGUUAAAUUGAACGUGAAACAUUCGCACCGAUUUAGCAACCGCUUAAUUACAAGAAGGAAAAUUAAAUUGUGUCUCGUUAUAAGGAAACGAAGGUUUGCAACGAUAUUUGAAUGUAAAUGGCUUGAUCGAUUCACUCUCCAAGAGUGAAGAGCAAAGUUCAACGGGGGAUUCUUCGCUAUUUGCCUUCGGUGAAACGAAUUUCGAAAGGUGAUCGAUGAAUUUUAUUCGGGCUUAUGAUGAGUCUGUCGCCAAGAUUAAUCUCCAAUUACCAGUCGAAUUAUAACCGAGAAGCUUGGAUGAAAUCGCGACACAGGAAACGGAUCAGACUUUUAAUAAUUUCUUGCUCCGUGCACGUAAUAAAGAUUGCACGAGAAAUUGCCUUAAAAAAAUAAAAUCAAUUGUAUUACGAUUUUCCUUUGGAAAAUUAUAGACAGUUCUUUUUAUAUCCCUCUUCCAAAUUAAAUAUCAUUUAUUCCACGUUUCUUUACGUUUCGCCACUUUAUUUCAAUAAUUGUUUCAGAAAUUCAUCCUAUUUUUUACAUUCUGUGAAGAUAAGAAUAAGGGAGACAAACAUCUUUCUCACCCAUACCCACCGGUAUAAUUCUCCAAUUUUCCAAAUCACGAGGUCUCUUCUACUCCCGACAAGCUAGUAAACUACGCAAUUACCAUGGAAUCAGAUUCUCUCCACCGGUAGCCAGACGCGUUUCCGACGUUAAAGAGUCGCGGGAAGUGAGACGUAGCGUGGAAAGGGGGGAGAGGGGAAGAGGAAGAAGGCGGAAGAAAGGAGCACCCCAGUCUCAAGUAUUCACGCGAGUUUUGCCUCGCGCAAGGUCAGAAUCGAGGCGCCGUCGUCGUAAAAGCGGCCGUGGUGCUGACUGGUGGUUACCGGAGGGGUUGCUAAUACUCUGGAAAUCUGCUCCCCCGCGUCAUAUUUGAAACCUUCCAACCUUCCAACCCCGCUAUCGAGGGGGGAGGGGGCACACCUCUUCGAAAUUCCGCUUGUCGACAUCCGCUUGAUUACACGCGUCUCUCUUCCGCUUCAUUUCCGAGAGAGGGAGGGAGGGAGGGAGGGAUGUUGUCGGUUGAAAAUUUCUCCCGUACGCGCCUUUCGGGAUUUUCAACCUUCCGGAUGGGAUUCUGAAUGAUUUCGCUUAAACGAUCCCUCUUCUACGAGAGGGUUGGACUAUGCGGAUUCUUUUUGAUAGGGUGAAGGUCGUUAGGGGUUCUCUUCUUAUUUCUUUUUAUUUAUUUUUUUUUUUUUUGAGAAAUUGGAUUUGGAAUUUAUCUUUAUUUAAUUUAUAGGCGAAAGUUCGAGACGAUUGAAGUUUUUCAUCGAGUCGAUCGAAUCAAUUUUUCGAGUACAGAUGUUGUACAGAUACAAUUUUGUUCGAUUUUGUUGAUUUUGCAAAUUUUGUAUCCAUUGAUUUUUUAUACGAAAGGAUACGACUAGGAUAUAAUUUAAUGGCGAGGCAGUAUUGUCUUGGCCCGAAUAUUGAUGGAAAUGAAACAAGAAAAUCUUUCUUGUUGAAUGAUAAAUCUUGUUGGAAUAAUAAUAAUUCAAACAAGGGAUAAUCCGAAUGUACGUUUCGUGACUACGGAUUUUAUUCAUCGUGCUCAGGCACGAAAGGAUAUAUUUUGAAAUGAAAUUAUCCACGAUGGAAGAUAGGAAAGGCGUUGGAAAUAAUCGAUAAUUAAUUUCAUCACCUGCCUGAUUAUUAUUCCAAUUUCCAAUUGCAAGUGGGGGUAUAGUGCUGGGGGAAACCUUGGCGUUACAUACUCGAUGUCGAGCGAGGCCUUUGCUCGUGAAACGUUGUGUAAUUACGGAGAACGACCGAGAAUAACAAUUAACACCGUAACGAGUGGAGGGUGGCCUCCUCCAUCCCCGUCAAGCAAACCUAUUCGGACAAGGACCAGGAAACAGAAUGGGACUCGAGGUGUACGAUGGAGGUUAUAAGCUUCAAGGUCGUUUGAAUUUGCAUUACAGUAAACACGGGGUUGGGGCUGUGAUCGAGAGGGGACUAAUUAGUUUCACCUACUUUCCUAAAUUGUGUUAUUAACGCGCUUUUAUUAAAUAUUUCAGACGGCAGACGGUGAAUCUACUCGUGAAAAUUUUAAAUUUAAAAAGACGAUGGGACGAUAUCCUUAUCUUUAUAUUAGAGAAAAUUAAAGAAUUAUUCGUACGUAUAAAAUAUAUUGGAUAUAAAGAAAAUAGAAUUAUUCAAAUUUCUCUCCACGUUUGAUAACGAAGCCUGUACGAAUAAUGGAGUGAUAAAUCGUUAAUCCUUUCACGCUCGUAUUGCAUUACAAAUACGUUUUUCUUUUUCUUUCUAUAAUUUAUAAUAUUCGUUAUUUGUUAUUUAUGCAUCGCGAGUAAAAUCGAUGAAGGAGUUCUAAUUUAAAAAAAAAAAAGAAA